rnacentral:rRNA from 1 species
GAGGGAAACCGAGUCUUAACCGGGCGUUAAGUUGCAGGGUAUAGACCCGAAACCCGGUGAUCUAGCCAUGGGCAGGUUGAAGGUUGGGUAACACUAACUGGAGGACCGAACCGACUAAUGUUGAAAAAUUAGCGGAUGACCUGUGGCUGGGGGUGAAAGGCCAAUCAAACCGGGAGAUAGCUGGUUCUCCCCGAAAGCUAUUUAGGUAGCGCCUCGUGAAUUCAUCUCCGGGGGUAGAGCACUGUUUCGGCUAGGGGGCCAUCCCGGCUUACCAACCCGAUGCAAACUGCGAAUACCGGAGAAUGUUAUCACGGGAGACACACGGCGGGUGCUAACGUCCGUCGUGAAGAGGGAAACAACCCAGACCGCCAGCUAAGGUCCCAAAGUCAUGGUUAAGUGGGAAACGAUGUGGGAAGGCCCAGACAGCCAGGAUGUUGGCUUAGAAGCAGCCAUCAUUUAAAGAAAGCGUAAUAGCUCACUGGUCGAGUCGGCCUGCGCGGAAGAUGUAACGGGGCUAAACCAUGCACCGAAGCUGCGGCAGCGACGCUGAUGCGUUGUUGGGUAGGGGAGCGUUCUGUAAGCCUGCGAAGGUGGCCUGUGAGGGUUGCUGGAGGUAUCAGAAGUGCGAAUGCUGACAUAAGUAACGAUAAAGCGGGUGAAAAGCCCGCUCGCCGGAAGACCAAGGGUUCCUGUCCAACGUUAAUCGGGGCAGGGUGAGUCGACCCCUAAGGCGAGGCCGAAAGGCGUAGUCGAUGGGAAACGGGUUAAUAUUCCCGUACUUGGUGUUACUGCGAAGGGGGGACGGAGAAGGCUAUGUUGGCCGGGCGACGGUUGUCCCGGUUUAAGCGUGUAGGUGUGUGUUCCAGGUAAAUCCGGUUCACUUUAACACUGAGGCGUGAUGACGAGGCACUACGG